rnacentral:lncRNA from 1 species
GCCGUCUCACCUGCCCCCACCCACGGCGCCGUCGGAUCCCAGAGCGGCUGGUGCAAGCUUAAAGUGUUGCUGCCAGACCUUUCUUCUCUUCUAAUUUACCAAGUGAAGAAUGUUGAAAUAUCCAACUAUAAUUUGUGGAUUUCUCCUUUCAAUGCUAUCAUUUUUGGUGCUUCAUGUAUUUUUGAAGCUCUAUUAUUAGCCUCUCUUGAACCUUCACAGUCCAGCCGAGCUGCCAUCUCUUCAAGGAAGUUUUCCCUGAAGCCCUCAGGUAGACCCGUUUUUCCAUGGCGGCCACAUCAGCAUGCAGCACAUUUAAUUGGAAGUCUCCACAUAUGAGUUGGUUUUCCUUACUUAAAAUAUGCUUAUCAUCCCUUGGAGGUAUUGACUGCUGCCUCAUGAAGGCUGGUCCUGUCUCUAUAGUGAAUAUUGUGCACCUCAGGGUAGAAUGGAGAGCAGAAGACUUCAAAUCAGGCAGUCUGGGUUCAGACCCCAAUUCUAGUGCUAAAUAGCUACGUGACUUUAGGCCGAUUGUGUGUGACUUCCCUGAGCCCCAGUCUCUUUGCCUGCAAAAUGAGAAAAAUUAUAACAAUGUCAUCGGUUGUUCUGAGGAUUCUGAGAGGAAUUAGUAGGAGAGAGAACUAAGAAGCUGCGGGCCUCUACAGAGCCAUUCAACUGGCAUUUCGGAAGAUGUUGCCCAUCAGAGUCAGACCUUCUUAGCAUCUUCCGGCUGGGCCCAAACUUCCCAAGACCAUUUGGACAAGGUCAUCUCUAUCCCACCAUGGCCUCCUCCCAGAGGAGGAGAAGAAUCAUGCUGUUACAGCAGAACCGAAGAUUUGGGCAAGGGAGCUAAUGAUUAUGUUCUGCGUCAGGUCAGAGAUGGGCUGGGAAAGCCACUCCAAAGCCAAGACAAGCAGUUUCCUGGAAAAAGAAGGCUGCGCGGAGCCCAGAGUGGCCUGGAUCCUGCCUCAUUUCCUGGACCAGCUCCUUAGGUGGUUACUGGAUUGCCAAUAAAGCAGAGCUUAUUAAAGUCAACGAGCUCAGGCUUCAUCGCCGCCAUGGUAUCCAAGCACCAGUCUGUCUGGGAUUUCAUUUGCCAGAUGGACAAAGGAGAGGUUGUUCCAAUACAUAUCCUGAGUGGUGGGGGUGGGGAGAGAAGGGGAAGAAUGCUCUCUAGAGAAUUCUCUUUGUCCUCUGAAGUAAAUAGAGAUCAUGUCUUCCCCAGCCACACUCAGUGAUCUGAAUCUCUUGGACUGUGGAUUUUUCCUUUACCUGCUGUGAAGCCUUGAAAAGUAUGAAUUAGCUUGAUAAUGAUCCUCUAAAGAUGUUCAAGAGUUAAAGACGUGUUUAAGUUCUUCAGGCAAUCCAAUAUGACUACGGGUUUCCAAAAAUUUGAAGGAAACUGAAAAUCAUAGUUCCCAAACCAGAUAUUUUCCGGUGUCCAGAUGUUCACUGGCAUGCAAACCAAAUGUCUGGAUUAUGAGCUCCUUUUUUCAUUUCUUUUUAUCAGCUUACAUCCAGAUGUUGGAUCCAACUGGUCAGAGGCCUGGGGCAGAGACAGAAAUCAAAUCUAGGGUGUUCAUCUAGAGUCUCCUGCUCCUCCAUUCCUGCUUCCUCCUCACGCUGCCCCCACAUCCUCCCCAACUCACCUUCAUGCUACAUCUCGGCAAAUACAGCUCAUAUCCAGGCACGGUGCAGCCCUUGACAGCUGGGUCCGCAAAGGCAGAUCGGGUAUAUCUUUAAAGAAAAGUUAUCUUAACCAUUGAGAAGCCUUCCUUCCUCAGAGGAGAGCACCUCCCCAGCAGACCUCCGAGGAGACCAAGGGCAGGACAGGAAGGGUGAAAGGAAGUUUCAGGACUGCAGGAAAUAAGAGCUUGGAGGUCAAGGGAGAGAUCAGAUAAAACAUGAAUCUGAUCAGCAUCCUAGUGGUCUAGAGUGGAGACAAUCUGCGGAGUCAACCUCAGUAAGGACACACAUAGAGAAGAACCAAAGCCUCUAAAGACGAAGCUGAGAAGUGUACGGUCGUAGAAGACUCGUGUCUGUUAUUCUUAAAAGCUCAAGGAGAUGUUCUGCCAAUUGAAUGGAAACUGUCCAUAGUGGGGAGCAGAGAGCCUCAUCUUUUCUGGAACUGAACAUCCAUCCUUAAGGCCAGAUUUCUCCCAUCACCAACUUUAACUCCUGCCCUAGCCCUCUCUCUUCCUUUUCAAAACCCUCUCCACCCAGGAAGGGAGAUUCUGGAGCCAAGACUGUACCAGCCACACCUCCCCAGAGUUGUUAAGGAAGGAACUCGAAGCCAGGGGUGGUCUUCUGGCAAGCACCCCCACUACCAGUAGCAGGACAGAUGUGUUUCUAAUGGACUACACUAUCCCCGGAGGUCACAUGAUUCAGGCUGCCAAGGGUACCUGCCCUUGGGAAAUCAACUCCCGAAGAUAAAUUGGGAUUGGGUCCUGAGAAGAUCCAUGGAAGCCCAGAGGACCCUGCCUCUCUCUGUUGCUUCAUGCUGUAGAGGCAGUACUGGGGAGGGCCUGCCCCACAUCCGGCAGGGCAGCUGGAACCAUGUGUUUGAUGACACUCUGCUCCCUCAAUGUGGAGCCUCAUCCUCAUCUCACAGUCUAGCAGGCCUCUGGUGGGUUAGGCUUGUCUCACCCAGUGUGUGAGUUUUUUUGGAAGUGACCUGAUUUUGGAGUUUCCCUCCAAGCCUUUCUCAGGUACAUGCUUUCUCUUUUAUUCUGUCUUCUUUUUUUGAUCUUCUUAAAUCUGAUUUUCUCCUUUUUCCCUCUCUUGUCUCCAUCUUUUUUCCAGUCUCUCGCUUCUCUUUAUUUCUCCCCAUAUUUCACUCUGUUCUCUCACCCCAACCUUUCCCUUCUGUUUCUCUCCCUCCCUCUCUUCCCACCCCCUGCCUGGCCUUCCAUAUAUCAAGCAGAGUUUUAUCACCUUAUGCAGGGGCAGCCCUGCCACCUGCCAUAAAGUUGAUAGGCUAAUGACAUUUUGUGGAUAUUGCCAUGUCACAAGUCCAGGACAGCAUCAAAAAUAGCCCUGAUGUCUAAACCACUUCAGCUAUCUUUUUUAUUUUUAAAAUAAAUACAUUCACAUGCUUUUAAGAAACUAUAAAAAUAUAUAAAGUAAAAAGAUCUUUCUCUCACACUGUCUCCACCUCUCCUGGUCUCACCGUUGUGCUUAGGGGAAACCAUUGUGAUUAGUUUCUCCUGUGUCCUUCCAGAGUGUCUUUAUGCAAAUGAAAAUUAUUGUGAUAAUAUAUUCCUAUUUUCCCCCUUACUACACAAAAGAUAGACUACCAUAAUCCCAUUCUGCACUUUUUUUUCACUUGAUAAUAAAAACAUGAUUUUAUUAA